rnacentral:rRNA from 1 species
GAUGAACGCUGGCGGCGUGCCUAAUACAUGCAAGUCGAGCGAACAGACGCGGCGCUUGCGCGUCGGACGUGAGCGGCGGACGGGUGAGAAACACGUGGAAAACCUACCUAUAAGACUGGGAUCACUUCGGGACACCGGAGCUAAUACGGGAGAACAUGUUGAACCGCAUUGUUCAAUAGUGAAAGACGGUCUUGGUGUCACUUAUAGAUGGAUCCGCGCCGCAUGAGCUAGUUGGUAAGGUCACGGCUUACCAAGGCAACGAUGCGUAUGCGAGCGGUUAGGGUGAUAGCCCACCUUGGAACGGGGCCACGCUCCUGACUCCUACGGGAGGGCCCAGUCGCGAACGUUCGGCAAUGGGCGAAAGCCUGACGGAGCAAGGCCGCGUGAGUGACGAAGGUCUUCGGAUCGUAAUACUCUGUUAUUAGGGAAGAACAAAUGUGUACGUAACUAUGCACGUCUUGACGGUACCUAAUCAGAAAGCCACGGCUAACUACGUG